rnacentral:rRNA from 1 species
UACGUAGGCAGCGAGCGUUUUUCGGAGUUACUGGGCGUAAAGGGGGUGUAGGCGGGUCUUUCAGGUUGGUGUGAAAUCUCCCGGCUCAACCGGGAGGGUGCGCCGAAUACUGAGGGACUAGAGUGCGGGAGAGGAAAGUGGAAUUCCUGGUGUAGCGGUGAAAUGCGUAGAUAUCAGGAGGAACACCGGUGGUGUAGACGGCUUUCUGGACCGUAACUGACGCUGAGACACGAAAGCGUGGGUAGCAAACAGG